GGCGGCGUGCCUAUACAUGCAAGUCGAACGAACUCUGGUAUUGAUUGGUGCUUGCAUCAUGAUUUACAUUUGAGUGAGUGGCGAACUGGUGAGUAACACGUGGGAAACCUGCCCAGAAGCGGGGGAUAACACCUGGAAACAGAUGCUAAUACCGCAUAACAACUUGGACCGCAUGGUCCGAGUUUGAAAGAUGGCUUCGGCUAUCACUUUUGGAUGGUCCCGCGGCGUAUUAGCUAGAUGGUGAGGUAACGGCUCACCAUGGCAAUGAUACGUAGCCGACCUGAGAGGGUAAUCGGCCACAUUGGGACUGAGACACGGCCCAAACUCCUACGGGAGGCAGCAGUAGGGAAUCUUCCACAAUGGACGAAAGUCUGAUGGAGCAACGCCGCGUGAGUGAAGAAGGGUUUCGGCUCGUAAAACUCUGUUGUUAAAGAAGAACAUAUCUGAGAGUAACUGUUCAGGUAUUGACGGUAUUUAACCAGAAAGCCACGGCUAACUACGUGCCAGCAGCCGCGGUAAUACGUAGGUGGCAAGCGUUGUCCGGAUUUAUUGGGCGUAAAGCGAGCGCAGGCGGUUUUUUAAGUCUGAUGUGAAAGCCUUCGGCUCAACCGAAGAAGUGCAUCGGAAACUGGGAAACUUGAGUGCAGAAGAGGACAGUGG
rnacentral:rRNA from 2 species